UAAAUUUUGUCAAUAAAGAACGGUUGAAUUGAUGCUAUCAAUUCAACCUUAUUUUUUAAAAAGUCUUAAUUGCUUUUCGACGCAUUACAUCUUCAAAUAAGCAAUAUUUUGCGCAGAGCUUCUGCUAAUUUUAAAGAAAAAUGGAUGUGGAAAGAACCUUUGGACUCGAACUGAUGUACAGGAAGUGGUUCAACGGCAACAUUGCCGGGGGGAAGGACGCCGAAUCUGGGCCACAAUCGCGAGCGCCAAGUAUAUGGUACCACUCUCGCUUUCCAAAUAAUAAUUAUUUAAUACCCGAAGUGGAAUGGAGCGCCGCCUCACAGUGAAAUGUGGUUGAAGGCGAUACUCCUGAUGUGCUGCAAAGUACUCCGAAAAAAUCGAAAUUUCAUCACUUUCGUCUCCGAUGUGUUUGGACAACAGGAUGACUACGCAGAACUUACGUCAAAGGCCAACUUGCCCCUUUCUAAAAAGGAAUCGUGACAUUCCUUCCGAAGAAAAGAGGUAACGCGAUACAUAUUCGCACCUGGAUAACCGCACGCUGAUUUCCACUUGACCAAUUAUCCGGACCAAACUGAGACCAUAAAAAAUUGAUUUUUUUUAUAACCCUUUCAUCCUUUCUUUCAACUGCAAAAUUUUCUUGUAAGAUGAUAUAUCUCCUGAUAUGUAGAGUGCAUAAAUUGGAAUUUUCUUUCAAAUUGUGGUACUUUAGUAUGUAUGUUAAAUGCGCUCAAACGAAAACACUUCCAAGUCUGGAGGCUUUUGUAAUAAAAAGGCAAUUUCGAAAACUGGGACAAUUUAAGUGCAUUUAAAUUCUGGUGCAUUCAAUAAUUGAAAGUGUUUUUAAGAUCGAACGCUUUCAAA